rnacentral:rRNA from 1 species
CAGAUUGAACGCUGGCGGCAUGCCUUACACAUGCAAGUCGAACGGCAGCGCGGGAGCAAUCCUGGCGGCGAGUGGCGAACGGGUGAGUAAUACAUCGGAACGUGCCCAAUCGUGGGGGAUAACGCAGCGAAAGCUGUGCUAAUACCGCAUACGAUCUACGGAUGAAAGCAGGGGAUCGCAAGACCUUGCGCGAAUGGAGCGGCCGAUGGCAGAUUAGGUAGUUGGUGAGGUAAAGGCUCACCAAGCCUUCGAUCUGUAGCUGGUCUGAGAGGACGACCAGCCACACUGGGACUGAGACACGGCCCAGACUCCUACGGGAGGCAGCAGUGGGGAAUUUUGGACAAUGGGCGAAAGCCUGAUCCAGCCAUGCCGCGUGCAGGAUGAAGGCCUUCGGGUUGUAAACUGCUUUUGUACGGAACGAAACGGCCUUUUCUAAUAAAGAGGGCUAAUGACGGUACCGUAAGAAUAAGCACCGGCUAACUACGUGCCAGCAGCCGCGGUAAUACGUAGGGUGCAAGCGUUAAUCGGAAUUACUGGGCGUAAAGCGUGCGCAGGCGGUUAUGUAAGACAGUUGUGAAAUCCCCGGGCUCAACCUGGGAACUGCAUCUGUGACUGCAUAGCUAGAGUACGGUAGAGGGGGAUGGAAUUCCGCGUGUAGCAGUGAAAUGCGUAGAUAUGCGGAGGAACACCGAUGGCGAAGGCAAUCCCCUGGACCUGUACUGACGCUCAUGCACGAAAGCGUGGGGGAGCAAACAGGAUUAGAUACCCUGGUAGUCCACGCCCUAAACGAUGUCAACUGGGUUGUUGGGUCUUCACUGACUCAGUAACGAAGCUAACGCGUGAAGUUGACCGCCUGGGGAGUACGGCCGCAAGGUUGAAACUCAAGGAAUUGACGGGGACCCGCACAAGCGGUGGAUGAUGUGGUUUAAUUCGAUGCAACGCGAAAAACCUUACCCACCUUUGACAUGUACGGAA